UCGACCUGAGCUCAGGCAAGAUUACCCGCUGAACCUUAAGCAUAUCAAUAAGCGGAGGAAAAG
rnacentral:rRNA from 1 species